AAAAUGAUUUGAAAACAGUAUUGAUUAUAUUUAAUCUCUAAAGAACAAAUUUUUGAGAAGCUAUUUAUUUAUCUUCUUCAUCCUGAAGUAGGUGCUCAAAUGCUUUGUUGGCUUAGCAUUGAAAGCAAAGAGGAGAUUCCGGCCCAGAUUGAGCAGAGUGGGGAAAAGUAUGCCGUGGGAAAAACUACAUACUAAGAUCACAAGUAAAAGCUCAAGAAGGAAACUGGCAGAAACUCCGGCUCACUUGUUGAGGUGGUGAUUUAAUUAGAAUUUGAAGUGUGCCGUAAGGAGAUUAGAGCUGACCUUUGUCACCUGCCCACGCUACCUUUGAGACCUGUCAGAUUUAUCACCAUCUCUGGGGAGUCCUGGAACAAAAUCACCCAAACAAACCCUUCUGAGUGGAGGACUCCCCACCUUCUUUGGUGUUAUUGAUACUGUCAUCUUUCAACUUUGAAGUUAGAACCUGGUUUCUGGAAGACUCUACAAUGUCUUGGAAGCUAAACAUUCAAUACGUGGACAAUUGUGGAUAAUAUAGAUAACCUAAAAGAAGAAGAUCGUUAUCACUAGUAAUUUUACUAUUUAGUGCUAACUGUGUUCAGUUUAGUGUGUAUCUUGUGUGCUUUUUAAAACAAAAAUGGGAUUAUAUAAUUUGUGCUUUUUAGUAAACAUACAGUAAGCAUCUCUUAAUGUUAGUUAUUCAUCAUCAA
rnacentral:lncRNA from 1 species